UAGUGAGUUUGAUCCUGGCUCAGAACGAACGCUGGCGGCAUGCCUAACACAUGCAAGUCGAACGAAGCCUUCGGGCUUAGUGGCGCACGGGUGCGUAACGCGUGGGAAUCUGCCCUUGGGUUCGGAAUAACAGUUAGAAAUGACUGCUAAUACCGUAUGAUGUCUUCGGACCAAAGAUUUAUCGCCUAAGGAUGAGCCCGCGUAGGAUUAGCUAGUUGGUAAGGUAAAGCUUACCAAGGCGACGAUCCUUAGCUGGUCUGAGAGGAUGAUCAGCCACACUGGGACUGAGACACGGCCCAGACUCCUACGGGGAGGCAGCAGUGGGGAAUUUUCCGUAAUGGGCGAAAGCCUGACGGAGCAAGACC
rnacentral:rRNA from 1 species